rnacentral:rRNA from 1 species
UUAAAUUGAAGAGUUUGAUCAUGGCUCAGAUUGAACGCUGGCGGCAGGCCUAACACAUGCAAGUCGAACGGUAACAGGAAGAAGCUUGCUUCUUUGCUGACGAGUGGCGGACGGGUGA